UCAGGAUGAACGCUGGCGGCGUGCCUAACACAUGCAAGUCGAGCGCGAUCUUCAUGAUAGAGUUUUCGGACAAAGUCAUGGAUUGAAAGCGGCGGACGGGUGAGUAACGCGUAGGCAACCUACCCCAUACAGGAAGAUAGCCUCGGGAAACCGGGAUUAAUACUCCAUGAAGCUCUAGCAACAUAUGUUGCAUGAGUCAAAGUGCUUAGCGGUAUGGGAUGGGCCUGCGUCUGAUUAGCUAGUUGGUGAGGUAACGGCUCACCAAGGCGACGAUCCAGUAGCCGACCUGAGAGGGUGAUCGGCCACACUGGAACUGAGACACGGUCCAGACUCCUACGGGAGGCAGCAGUGGGGAAUAUUGCACAAUGGGGGAAACCCUGAUGCAGCAACGCCGCGUGAGUGAUGAAGGUUUUCCGGAUCGUAAAGCUCUGUCCUAGGGGAAAUAUGACGGUACCCUAGGAGGAAGCCCCGGCUAACUACNUGCCACAAUCCGCGGUAUACGUANGGGGCCAAGCGUGAUCCGGAAUUAUGGGGUUUAAGGGUGCGCAGG
rnacentral:rRNA from 1 species